rnacentral:misc_RNA from 1 species
AACAAGGUCUCCGUUGGUGAACCAGCGGAGGGAUCAUUACAGAGUUAUCUAACUCCCAAAACCCAUGUGAACUUACCUUUGUUGCCUCGGCAGAAGCUACCUGUACCUACCUGGAACAGCCUACCUGGAGCGAUCCGGGCUGGCCUACCUGGAACGGUCUGGUGGUCGACUGCCGGUGGACCAUUCAACUCUUGUUAUUUUAUUGUAAUCUGAGCGUCUUAUUUUAAUAAGUCAAAACUUUCAACAACGGAUCUCUUGGUUCUGGCAUCGAUGAAGAACGCAGCGAAAUGCGAUAAGUAAUGUGAAUUGCAGAAUUCAGUGAAUCAUCGAAUCUUUGAACGCACAUUGCGCCCAUUAGUAUUCUAGUGGGCAUGCCUGUUCGAGCGUCAUUUCAACCCUUAAGCCUAGCUUAGUAUUGGGAGUCUACUGUAUUGUAGUUCCUCAAAUCCAACGGCGGAUCUGUGGUAUCCUCUGAGCGUAGUAAAUUUUUAUCUCGCUUUUGUCAGGUGCCGCAGCUCCCAGCCGCUAAACCCCCAAAUUUUUUAAUGGUUGACCUCGGAUCAGGUAGGAAUACCCGCUGAACUUAAGCAUAU